rnacentral:lncRNA from 1 species
CUUGUACUUGAUUUGAUGAAUUUAAAGUCACUAAUUAGUUAGGAACUAACCUGAAUGUAGACGUGGUGAAAGAUGGAGACUUCACCCAGAAAACCUGGAAUAUUAGACUGAUGAGGACCACAGGGUUUAAAGAUGGAGACUCAUCCUUCAUCACCGCGGUAACCGACCUGGUGUCAUUCUGCAUCUUUAAUCACUGAAACCCGAAACCAACAUCUGGGUUGAGUCACUCUGUUAAUAUAUCUGUCCUAGUUGAGUCACUCUGUUAGUACAUCUGUCCUAGUUGAGUCACACUGUUAGUACAUCUGUCCUAGUUGAGUCACUCUGUUAGUAUAUCUGUCCUAGUUGAGUCACUCUGUUAGUAUAUCUGUCCUAGUUGGGUCACUCUGUUAGUAUAUCUGUCCUAGUUGAGUCACUCUGUUAGUAUAUCUGUCCUAGUUGAGUCACUCUGUUAGUAUAUCUGUCCUAGUUUGGUCACUGUGUUAGUAUAUCUGUCCUAGUUGGGUCACUCUGUUAGUGAUGUUGUCAUGACUACCAGUCACACCUGUUAUUUCAUAACUUUCUUGUUCAGCUUUUAACCACCAUUGUAUAAUAAACUAUCUCACGGUUUCCUAACUUGUCCUUGUAAA